AGAGACAGCAGUCGCCGCGGUAAUACGGAGGGUGCAAGCGUUAAUCGGAAUUACUGGGCGUAAAGCGCACGCAGGCGGUCUGACAAGUCAGAUGUGAAAUCCCCGGGCUUAACCUGGGAACUGCAUUUGAAACUGUCAGGCUGGAGUCUUGUAGAGGGGGGUGGAAUUCCAGGUGUAGCGGUGAAAUGCGUAGAGAUCUGGAGGAAUACCGGUGGCGAAGGCGGCCCCCUGGACAAAGACUGACGCUCAGGUGCGAAAGCGUGGGGAGCAAACAGGAUUAGAUACCCGGGUAGUCCCUGUCUCUUAUAC
rnacentral:rRNA from 1 species